rnacentral:rRNA from 1 species
AUGUCCAUGAUGGGUGAGCUGAAGUUCUUCCUUGGUCUUCAAAUUCGUCAGCAAAGCAAUGGCAUCUUCAUAUCUCAAGAAAAAUACCUCAAAGAUUGUCUGAAGAAGUUUGGAAUGGAAGACCGCAAAGGCUACACGACGCCAAUGCCUGCCAAACACCAUCUUGGUCCCGACGACAAUGGUAAAGAGUUCGAUCAAAAGGUAUACCGCUCCAUGAUUGGUUCUUUACUUUAUUUAUGUGCAUCUAGGCCAGAUAUUAUGCUUAGUGUUUGCAUGUGUGCUCGAUUCCAAGCGGCACCAAAGGAAUCGCAUCACUUAGCUGUGAAGCGAAUUGUUAGAUAUUUGGCUUACACCCCAACACUUGGAUUAUGGUACCCCAAGGGCUCAAAAUUUGAUUUGGUUGGAUUCUCGGAUGAUGAUUAUGCUGGUGACAAGGUGGAUCGCAAGUCUACAUCUGGCACAUGUCAUUUUCUUGGUCGAUCACUUGUCUGUUGGUCUUUAAAGAAGCAGAACUGUGUAUCACUCUCAACUGCUGAAUCUGAAUACAUUGCUGCUGGAUCUUGUUGUGCUCAGCUUCUCUGGAUGAAGCAAACUCUCAAGGACUAUGGCAUCAAUCUGAAACAAGUACCUCUCUUCUGCGACAAAGAAAGUGCCAUCAAGAUAGCCAACAAUCCAGUCCAGCACUCGAAGACAAAGCACAUUGAAAUUCGCCAUCACUUUCUCAGAGAUCAUGUCAUGAAGAAAGAUAUCGACAUCAUUCAUGUCAGCACUGAAGAGCAACUAGCAGAUAUCUUCACAAAGCCCUUGGAUGAGAAAAGGUUUUGCAAGUUACGGUGUGAGCUAAAUAUCUUGGAGUCCUCUAAUGUCCUAUGA